rnacentral:lncRNA from 1 species
UUGAAUUUGACUCGACUCAAAAAAAAAUAUCUUUACAGAAAUAAUAUAUUAAUUCUUCGCUAAUGAUUCGUAACCGUGUCAAUAUAUUUUAGAUCGUGUUCACACAAAUGUGUCAGAUUAAACGAAAUAGAAGAUUGUUAGAAAUUGUUCAUGAUAAAUAACUAAUUUUUUAAGAUGUGUUAAAAAAAUAUAUAUAUAUGAACCGACUGAAAACGGGCAAACAAUAUCAAAGUUUUGAGUUCUGAUUAGUUAACAAACCUAUCAAUAUUUUCGUUUAGUUGACAAGGCUUCCUAAUACUCCCUCCGUCCCAUUUUAGUUGUCACAUUUGGUUUUGUGCCGGUCAAAUUGACCAAAGUUUGACUGAAAUUUAUUAAUAUUUUAUCAAUUGAAAAAAUAAAAAAAAUAUGUCACCGGAAAUAACUUUUAAUCUACUUUAAGAUGUAAUUUUCAGUUUUUUAAAAUAAUGAAAGAGUGACUUGUAAUCCUUGGUCAAAAAUUAGUCAAUUUGACCAACAAAAAAGGAAAUGUGACAACUAAAAUGGGACGGAGGGAGUAUUAAAGUUGAUACCAAUACUAAGCAAAACAAUCACAUCAUCAGUAUAUUACUCUAUGAAUUAAGCUGUUUCCUGGAAGCUGCACAUCCUUUGUGAUGUUGAGCUAGCCUGAUGUAUUCAAGGACAACAUAGUAAUAAAUCCAUUCAACAUUCAGCAUGCUCUUAUCUUGACUUUGACCAUACCACCUUUAAAAACUCCACUAUAUAAACCAUUCAAACUAUGCUUCAAAUUUGAUACCUAACUCUCCCAACAACCAUGAACAACCACCCUAAUGCUUCCACUGAUCACCACCAGUGGCUGCAUUACUAUAACCAACAGACCCCCGAUGCCGCUUAUGAUCCGGCAGCCAUGACGUCUGUCGGCGGUGGUGGCAACGGUUCGGGUUUUUCGGAUACCACUAGUACUAUAGUGACCACAAGUUUUACCACAAACAAUACUUCAAGCCCAAGUAAAUCAACUUCUUUAGGUAACACUGAUGUUCAUCUCAACCCUCAAGCCUCAGUAGGGAAGCCUAUUCGGAGAAGGUCAAGGGCGCCAAGGAAGAACCCGACGACGCUGCUUAAUGCAAGCACGACGAACUUCAGGUCCCUUGUGCAGCAAUUCACUGGUUGUCAGAAUACAAAGGCAACCUCAUUUGGUUCACGCAAGGGUCCGGUUAACUUGAGCUUUGGCAUGCCUAGGAAUAUGCAGAAUGAUCAUCAUAUUAUUAGUACAAGCUCAAGAAUCACGCCAGUGGGAUCAGAAUACUAUCAUGAUCAGCUGUCGAAUCCAAGUGGUCAUGAUCAGAAGCAAGGGCAGCAGUGGCAGCAGCAAGAAAUGUUUGAGAAAUUACGGAUUAAUAGUACAAAGAACAUGCAGAGUGGGGGGCUGGAUGAUUUCGGGAUCGAUGAUAUGCAUGGACUCAUUAAUGAAUCUUCUUCAUUCAGUAGCAGUGUUAAUAAACAGGAUGGCAACUAUUACUUUUAAUAAGGGUAUCUGGAAAUUCAUCAGCUGCAAUGUAAAUAGUAAAUACAUAUUAUUUGCUUCUAAAUAGAAAUUGUAGCAGGCUCGAGGAUGAUCAUCGAUAUCAUAUAGUUCCUUCUGCAGGAAACUUAUGCAUUCUUUCUGUUUGUUAUUCGUUAUUUUAUUUUGUGCUGUUGCAAUAUAAAAGUAGUUUCACUUGAUUUAAUUAUCAGGAACCACCUGAUUUCAACUCGAACUUGAUGUAAAAAACAGUUAUGAUUUUACGAAGUUUCAGAAACAGGAUUGCAACAAAGGAACCGGGGAAACUACAAGGAAUUAUCUCAUGCUCUAAGACAGGAAGUUAGGAAACAGAGGUAAUAGAGCCCAAGUAAAGAUGACAAACUUCACAACCUCAGUAAAUUACAGAACAUAAAACCAAUCAAGAAAAAUCUUAAGUCUUAACCACAAUAGUGAACCACCAGAUCCAUGCAAAUCUCAGAAUAUAAAAGAAAGAAAUCACAUAUAUACAAUGUUAAGGAAAAUGGAACCCCAAAUAAUCUACAAAAACAAGUCCUAACCAUAAUAGUGAACCAUAAAAAAAAUGCAGAAUUCAAAAAUAUACUACAAGUACUCCCGGUGACAAUGUUCAUCAGUACUGAUGGAACUUAAAAAGCAACUUCGUCAGUAAUUAAGUUGAGAACGUACCUUCUUGGGGAUUACUGUAGUUGCCAAAACCAUAACCGAGAGGCCGUUUGGUUUUUAAGUCUCAACGCGUAGAUAGUUCUG